rnacentral:misc_RNA from 1 species
UACAAAACCCUCAAGCCUUGCUUGGUGAUGAAUUCCAUCAUUGAUGGAUUUUUAAAAAUUUGCCGAUGUUGUAGAGUUUAAUUCGACGCAACCAAAACUUUUCUGCGUCAGAAUGAGCUUUACAUCACAUCAGUAAAUCCUUUUCAAUAAUUUAACCUC